AUUCGAUUUUUAAAGGCUCAGCUUUGUUGCUCUGUGGCAGAGGAGAAUCGCCAGGAGCACACCAUGUGGACUUCUUCUGGAAAAUCUUCGCAGCCUCAAGCUAAGAAACAAGAGAGGAAGUCGAUAGCUGGGAGUUUCAAGGCAGAGAAUCUCAUACCAGGGAUUGUGAUAGGUUUCAUCAUAGGUAUGUUAUUGGAUUUGUCGCAGCAAGUUAAAUUCCCAGUGAGAAAGAGCAGACUUUUAUCCAGCAAGACCCAGAAGCAGAGUUCCGUACCAAGCAAUGGCGCUGAUCAAGAGCUUAAAAUGGUUUUAGUAGUUAGGCAAGACUUAAAGAUGAGAACAGGCAAGGUUGCGUCACAGUGUGCACAUGCUGCCACCGGCAUGUAUGCAGAGUUAAUGCAGAGCGACCGAUACCUUCUGAGACGAUGGGAGGAUUGCGGGCAACCAAAGAUAGUCGUCACUUGCAAAAACCAGCAAGAAAUGUAAGCAGGAAUAAGGUCACAGAGGCGGCUGAGAGCGUUGGCCUCCCGACUUUUGUUGUAGCUGAUGCUGGAAGAACACAGGUUGCGGCUGGAUCAAGAACGGUUCUUGCAGUUGGACCAGGACCAAAGGAGUUGGUUGAUUCCAUAACCGGUAGGCUGGCUUUACUCUGAUUCAGGAGCUUUUUCUUGUCCUAGCUCUUUUGGGAUUUUGAUUCCUCCAGGAUGAUGUUAAUUCAGGCAAGGUAGUUGUUGUUCUGUAGUGAUUGAACAAAGUAUUCUUGUUGGUUAAUUUAGUUAGUUCUUCUGCUGAUUAUUUGGAGUUGCAUUCAUGUAAAAGAAAAAAAUCAACUGAGUUCUGACACUAUCAAGUUCUUACUUUUUUUUAUUAUUUAUAUAUAUUGGUGACUUUGGAAUA